rnacentral:rRNA from 1 species
UACAGAGGGUGCGAGCGUUAAUCGGAAUUACUGGGCGUAAAGCGCGCGUAGGCGGCUUUGCAAGUCGGGUGUGAAAUCCCCAGGCUUAACCUGGGAACUGCAUUCGAGACUGCAUUGCUAGAGUAUGGGAGAGGGAAGUGGAAUUUCCGGUGUAGCGGUGAAAUGCGUUAGAUAUCGGAGGAACAUCAGUGGCGAAAGCGACUUCCUGGACCAAUACUGACGCUCAUGUGCGAAAGCGUGGGGAGCAAACAGG